rnacentral:rRNA from 1 species
CUCGUGUCGUGAGAUGUUGGGUUAAGUCCCGCAACGAGCGCAACCCCUAUUGUUAGUUGCCAUCAUUCAGUUUGGGCACUCUAGCGAGACUGCCGGUAAUAAACCGGAGGAAGUGGGAUGACGUCAAAUCAUCAUGCCCCUUAUGACCUGGGCUACACACGUGCUACAAUGGUUGGUACAACGAGUUGCGAGUCGGUGACGGCGAGCUAAUCUACUUAAAGCCAAUCUCAGUUCGGAUUGUAGGCUGCAACUCGCCUACAUGAAGUCGGAAUCGCUAGUAAUCGCGGAUCAGCACGCCGCGGUGAAUACGUUCCCGGGCCUU